UUCCCGAGGCGCGACCCGCGUCUCUGGCGCAGCUGCCUCCUGGAGUCCCUAGUGCGCCAGGAGCCUUGCUCCGUCCUGAUUCGUAUGGGCUCCGCCGAGUUCCGCUUGCGUCAGGGGCCUUCGCCCCUAUAGCGGGGCAGCCAGCAGCGCACGGGCGAGUUCAUCUCUAAGUCUCUUUUUUUAAACGGCCGGCGCUGCUUGGACCGGCCUGCCCGGGCCUCGGGAGUCUAGGGGGCCCCGACAGCCCCGGGCUCACGUUCUCACGAGUCCUUGAAAUCUACCGGGUGCUUGCUUCGCAGAAGGCCCGGAUGGGGGCUAGCUGCACCCAGGCAGUGUCCCCGGAGCAGUCUCCACCGAGGGAGGGUGAUCCAAGCCUCCUGGCAGCUUUCAGGUUUUGAAACGAUAACAGAAGUCUGGUGGAUAUCCAGUUGCACCCGCAAGAACGGAAGAAGAAUCAGAGGAAAUAUGCGCCAGUACAAAAUCAGGAUCAGCACCCGAAUCCCAGGUGAAGAAAGGGUACCUCGUGCGUGUACAAGGCUGGGAAACAACUUCAGGCGCCGCGGGGAUCAAUCACCUCCCGGGUUGCGUCUGGCCGCCUGUAAGCCGCCAGAGCUAAGGGUUGGAGACUCGGGAGAAGCUUGUUUGCACCGCGGUUCAGGCAGAUGUGGAUGCAGCAGGAGCGCCCAGAAGCUGUGGAGGGAACUUUGAUUUACUUCUUAUUCCUACCCCACACCCUUAGGAAGGCUGGGUAGGGCCGGCCCUACAUCCUGGCGAGAGUGGAAUUCUGUUCCUCUAGGCCUGUUUGCAGAGGUUGUGUGGGCCACCACGUUUCGCCUGUUAAUUCUGACAAAGCUGGGCGUCCACUUAGUGACCUCCGGCCUGCGCCCACCUCCAGCGGCCAUGGUCUUUAGCCAGCCGGAGCUCCAUGUUUCUCUGGCCGAGGUUUACAGGAGCCCUCAACACCUCCAUCCAGCUCCUUGUGC